CUUCUUCCUCAUUUUCUCUUGCGCUGCCAUGUAAGAACUGCCUUUCACCUCCCACAAUGAUUCUGAGGCCUCCCCAGACAUGUGGAAUUAAGUGAUCCAGUUGAGUCUGCCAGAAGAUCAGAAACUAAGCAUCACUGCAGCAACUGUGGGACAAAGUGCUGUUCUGAGCUGUGCCAUUCAAGGAACCCUGAGACCUCCCAUUAUCUGGAAAAGGAACAAUAUUAUUCUAAAUAAUUUAGAUUUGGAAGACAUCAAUGACUUUGGAGAUGAUGGGUCCUUGUAUAUUACUAAGGUUACCACAACUCACGUUGGCAAUUACACCUGCUAUGCAGAUGGCUAUGAACAAGUCUAUCAGACUCACAUCUUCCAAGUGAAUGUACAUCAAUAAAGUAGAAGUAGCUUGGAAUGCAGGAGGAAAUUGAACAUCUCAUCUAAAAAGUUUUCCUUUGGGGAGUAUCAGUGACCAUUUCCUCCAGUCAUCCGGGUGUAUCCAGAGAGUCAGGCUAGAGAGCCUGGGGUAACUGCCAGUCUUAGGUGCCAUGCAGAGGGCAUACCAAA
rnacentral:lncRNA from 10 species